UACGGGGGGGGCAAGCGUUGUUCGGAAUCACUGGGCUUAAAGGGCGCGUAGGCGGGCUGUCAAGUCUGGGGUGAAAUGCCGCGGCUCAACCGUGGAACUGCCUUAGAUACUGACGGCCUCGAGGAAGGUAGGGGCAUGCGGAACUGUAGGUGGAGCGGUGAAAUGCGCAGAUAUCAGGAGGAACACCGGUGGCGAAGGCGGGUCUCUGGGCCGAUACUGACGCUGAGGAGCGAAAGCGUGGGGAGCGAACAGG
rnacentral:rRNA from 1 species